UACGUAGGGCGCAAGCGUUGUCCGGAAUCAUUGGGCGUAAAGAGCGUGUAGGCGGCUCGAUAAGUCUGCUGUGAAAGUCCAGGGCUCAACCCUGGAAGGCCGGUGGAAACUGUCGGGCUAGAGUCCGGAAGAGGCGAGUGGAAUUCCCGGUGUAGCGGUGAAAUGCGCAGAUAUCGGGAGGAACACCAAUGGCGAAGGCAGCUCGCUGGGACGGUACUGACGCUGAGACGCGAAAGCGUGGGGAGCAAACAGG
rnacentral:rRNA from 1 species